rnacentral:rRNA from 1 species
GAUGAACGCUGGCGGCGUGCCUAAUACAUGCAAGUCGAACGAGGCCCUCUUCCUUCGGGAGGAGGUGUCCUAGUGCGAACGGGUGAGUAUCACGUUGGUGACCUACCCCGAAGAGGGGUACAACCCCGGGAAACUGGGGCUAAUACCCCAUGUGAUCCUAAGGACUAGAUGCCUAAGGAUGAAAAUGGAGCAAUCCGCUUCGGGAGGGGCCUGCGGCCUAUCAGCUAGUUGGUGAGGUAAUGGCUCACCAAGGCGACGACGGGUAGGGGACCUGAGAGGGUGACCCCCCACACUGGAACUGAAACACGGACCAGACACCUACGGGUGGCAGCAGUAGGGAAUAUUGCACAAUAGGCGAAAGCCUGAUGCAGCAACGCCGCGUGCGCGAUGAAGGCCUUCGGGUUGUAAAGCGCUUUUCUGGGGGACGAGAAAGGACGGUACCCCAGGAAUAAGUCUCGGCUAACUACGUG